ACGUCAGUAGCAUAGUGGUUAGUGCAGUGCCCCGGAAAGGUUGACACGCGGGUUCGAAUCCCGCCUGAGAUG
rnacentral:tRNA from 1 species